rnacentral:lncRNA from 1 species
UCUCAAGUGAUUAAUACUCAUGACUAUAAAAAGAUGUAGUAUUUGAUAGUAAAUUAAGAAAUAUGUAACUAAAGGAUGAUAUCUAGCAUAGUACUAAAACAUAGUACAUUAUCUUCAAAGUUAGACAUGAUCGGGCCACAUCUCUUUGCCAUUGCCAAGAGAAGAUAAACACUCAUCUCAUUUUCUCUCCUCGUCUUACAUGAAUAAAAAGUUGCCGUGUUGUCGUGAUGUUUAUAGCAGAUAAUCAGUGGGAGAAAUCGCCUGUCACAAGUAUUGCAAAAUAAACUAUGAGGACAUCUUGCUAUGAAGUUAUGCACUGUAAGACAAUAAGUUUUGGGGGAACCAGCACAACCCUCUAGGGGUGGCUUAUCUCAUUAUAUAUAAUGGAUGUGUUACAAUACGUACAUAAGUACAGAAGCUAUACAUAGUCUAACACCCUCCCUCAAUCUUAGCCACUUUCUAAAGAACUGAGAAGGGUAAGAUUGCGCCUACAAGCCUCAAACUGUGGCAGAGGUAAAGGCUUAGUGAAGAUGUCUGCAAGUUGAUCCUUAGAUGAGAUAAACUUGAUCUGGAGUUGCUUCUGUGAUACACGUUCCCGUACAAAGUGAUAGUCAACUUCAAUGUGUUUCGUUCGGGCAUGAAAUACUGGAUUUGCGAAAGGUAUGUAGCACCGAUGUUAUCACACCAAAGAAUAGGAGGCUGUGGUUGAGACAAACCCAACUCUGAAGCAAAGACUGCACCCAAAUAAUCUCUGCAGUAGCAUUAGCCACAGCCUUGUACUCAGCUUCAGUACUGCUACGUGACACAGUAGCCUGUUUCCGAGCACUACAGGCGAUCAAAUUAGGGCCAAAGAAUACUGCAUAACCCCCCGUGGAUCGCCUGUCAUCUGGGCUACCAGCCCAAUCUGCAUCAGAGAAGGCCGAAAGGACCCGAGAGGAAGUCGGCCGAAUAUGCAUACCAAAUGUCAGGGUGAACUGAACAUAACGAAGAAUGCGUUUAACAGCAGCCCAAUGAGUAUCUCUGGGAGCCUGAAGAUACUGACAAACCCUGUUAACAGCAUAAGAGAUAUCUGGUCUCGUGAUCGUCAAGUACUGAAGUCCACCAACAAUGCUCCUGUACUCUGUGGCAUCCGCAGGAGACAAAAGCUCACCAUCAACAGCUGUUAUCUUGUCGGUAGACGACAUGGGUGUGGUGGUCGGUUUGCACUUCAGCAUGCCCGCUCUUUGUAACAACUCCAAGGAGUACUUCUUCUGCGUAAGGACAAGACCAGUAGCACGAGAAGUGACCUCAACUCCAAGAAAGUAGUGAAGCUUCCCAAGAUCAUUGACCGCAAAAUCAGCACCAAGAGAGCAGACAAGAGCAUCAGCAGCAUACUAAGAAGAGCUGACAGGGAUAAUAUCAUCGACAUAUACCAAAAGAUACAUAGUGACUUCUGGCUUUUGUAGAAGAAAUAAUGAAGUGUCAGCAGUGGACGGCACAAACCCAUGAGCACGAAGGGCAGAGGCAAGGCGGGCAUGCCAGGCACGAGGAGCUUGCUUCAAACCAUAUAGUGCUUUGGAGAGACGACAGAUAUAGUCAGGACGAUCAGGAUCAGAGAAACCAGGCGGCUGUUUCAUAUAAACCUCUUCCUCUAAAAAUCCAUGUAGAAAAGCAUUCUGCGCAUCAAGUUGACGAAGUGACCAACCACGAGAAACAGCAAUGGAGAGAAGAAGCCGAAUAGUGGUAGGCUUGACGACAGGACUGAAGGUGUCCUCAUAGUCAAGACCAUGGCGCUGCCGAAAACCGCGAGCAACAAGUCGCGCUUUGUAACGCUCAAUAGAUCCAUCCGAAUGCUUCUUCACUUUGAAUACCCAUUUUGAGUCAAUAACAUUUACCCGUGGUGAUGGAGGAACGAGAGUCCAUGUCUUGUUACGAAGGAGAGCAUGAAACUCCUGCUCCAUAGCCUCACGCCAAUGUGGAAUGCGCAGGGCAGCCUGAUAUGAGCGAGGCUCAGAAGAUGGAUCCGCAACAGCAGCAGCCAAACAAGCAGCCAACCAAGCAACCGUACCAUCCUUACGUUCCUUAGGUUUGAAAAUGCCACUGCGACUGCGUGUAUGUGGUCGGGACACAGGAACCACCGAGGUCGACGGAGCAGCCUGCAACGGGCUGGAGGACGGCGACGUUGACGAGUCAGCCGGUGACGAGGAGCCAGACACAGUAGCCUCGGGCUCGGUCGACGAAGAAGGCCGGCCCACCGGCGAAACCGGUAGAGCAGACGAAGCAGCUGGCGACGCCGGCGUCACAGACCGGGCCGAUGGCGAGCCCGGCAUAGUGGGCCAUGGCGCGGCCGGUGUCGCGGGCCGAUCCGCGGAUGAAGGCGACGUGAGGACGGCGUCGCGGACCCGAGCUGCAGGCGAAGACGGCGUGACGGGCCGAGCCGCGGGCGAAGACGGCGUGACAGGCCGAGCCGCUGAAGACUCGGCGGCCGCUGGCGAAGAGGGCCGAGCCGCUGGAGACUCGGCGGUCGCUGGCGUAGCGGACCGAGCAGUGGAGAUGCUCGGCGCGACGGGCUCUUCGGGUGACCAUGCAUGGGCACGCGAAUCGAUGCCAUGCAACAUAGGGCGAUCGACGUGCCCAUCAGAAGGCGGCGAUGAUGAUGGUGAAUCCUCCAACAGCUCCAAACGAACCCCACGUCCGGUUCCUGCACCAUGGUUAGGUAACAGCAAAGGAGAGUAUGCAACAUCAUCAAAUUGGUCAGAAGCAACAGAGGAUGAAUGCAGAGAUGGUGGUUCGACAGUGGACACAGGAAGUUUGGCAAAGGGAAAAACAUGCUCAUCAAACACGACGUCCCGAGAUAUAUAGACACGAUUAGUGGGAACAUGAAGACAUUUGUAACCUUUAUGAAGAGAGCUAUAGCCAAGAAAAACACACUUCUUAGAACGAAACUCAAGCUUGCGCUUAUUAUAUGGACGAAGAUGCGGCCAGCAAGCACACCCAAAUACCUUGAAAAAGGUAUAAUCAGGUUGUUCAUUAAGGAGAACCUCAAUGGGAGUCUUCAUGUUUAAAACACGAGUGGGAGUACGGUUGAUGAGAAAGCAUGCAGUGAUGAAAGCAUCACUCCAAAACCGAAACGGAACAGAUGCAUGGGCCAAAAGAGUAAGACCAGCUUCAACAAUAUGACGAUGCUUACGUUCGACUGAACCAUUCUGCUGAUGUGUAUGUGGACAUGCUAAACGAUGAGCUAUCCCAAGCGACUGAAAGAAGGAGUUGAGGUUGCGAUACUCGCCCCCCAGUCCGACUGGACAUGAACAAUUUUGUGCUUGAGAAGACGUUCAACAUGUUUUUGAAACUGAACAGAAAUAUCAAACACAUCAGAUUUGCGUUUAAUAAGGUAAAGCCAGGUAAAGCGACUAUAAGCAUCAACGAAACUGAUAUAGUAAUUAUGACCACUGACAGAAGUCUGAGCAGGACCCCAUACAUCUGAAAACACAAGUUCUAAAGGAUGUUUCACCUCACGACUGGACUCCGAAAAAGGAAGUUGAUGACUCUUCCCCUGCUGACAAGCAUCACACACUGCUACAUCUUUAUUACUAGACAAACUAGGAAGCUCAUGACGACGCAAAAUAUGACGGACAAUAGGUGUGGCCGGGUGACCAAGACGAGCAUGCCACUGUGACGGAGAGACCCGAACUCCACUGAAAACACGGGCGACGCCAGGAUGCUCCAGACGGUAGAGGCCCUGGCACAACCGCCCACUAAGAAGAAUGUCCCUCGUGCCCCGAUCCUUAAUAAAAAGAUCAAAAGGGUGAAAUUCACAAAGCACAUUAUUAUCACAUGUGAGUUUAGGAACUGAUAGAAGAUUACGGGUCACAGAUGGAACUCGAAGAACAUUGCGAAGCUGAAGACUCCUAUUGGCAUGUCUAGUGAGAAGAGAUGCUUGACCAAUAUGAGAGAUGUGCAUACCUGCUCCAUUGGCGGUGUGGAUCUUGUCGGAGCCAUGAUAGGGUUCACGAGUGUGAAGCUUCCCCAUCUCGCUGGUCAGAUGCUCUGUCGCCCCAGAGUCCAUGUACCAGUGUGGAUCGAUGGAGUAGGACUGAGUGUGUCCCUGUUGCUUCUGCGGCGCGGGACGAUCAGCCAUGGCGACCUGACGGGCAUUGUUGCGUGUAUCUUUGCCGUCAUUGCCAAGACCAAGGAAGCUUCGCUGGAAGCGCUUAUGACACUUGGAGGCCCAGUGCCCAUCGCGGCCACAAAGCUGGCACACACGUGGACCGCCAGCCCCCGGUAAGGUCGCAGUAGGUGGGGGGGCCGAGGCGGGCGACGGUGGCAGCCCCAAGGGAGACCGGGGUGAUGAAGAAGAGCGGCCACCCUUGGUGGCGGCAUUGGCCGAGAGGGAGCCAGUGCCCCUGGAGCGGCGUGUCUCGACCCGUUGCUCAGUGAGAAGGAGCCAAGAGAAAACCUCGUGUGCCAGCAUGGGUGUCGAGUUGCCCCGCUCGUUGAUGAUCUCGACUAAGGCAUCAUACUCCUCAUCAAGACCGUUGACAAUAAACGAGUUGAACUCGGAGUCGGUGAGGGGCUGUCCAAUGGAGGCCAAUGUGUCGGCGAGACCCUUGACCUUGUUGUAGAACUCAGUGGCAGUGGAGUCAAGCUUCUGACACUCUCCAAGCUGACGACGGAGUGCAGAGACACGAGCCUGGGACUGCGCUGCAAAGGUUCGCUCAAGGAUGGUACAGGCCUCAUGAGACGUCUUCGCGAAGACAACAAGUCCGGCAACUGCCGGCGAGAGCGACCCCUGGAUGGAGGAGAGGUUCGCCUGGUCCUGCCCCGUCCAGACGCGAGGGGCCGGAUUGUAGACCGGACCGUGCACGCUGUCUACCAGUGCGGGUGGGCAGGGAAGCGAUCCGUCGACGUAGCCUAGCAGGUAGUGACUCCCCAAGAGCGGGAGAACCUGCGCACGCCAGAAGAUGUAGUUGUCGGCGGAGAGCUUGAUGGUGAUGAGAUGACCGAAGUGAAACGGCGGCGGCGAAGACGAUCCCAUCGAGGGGGCUGCCUGGGGUGCAAACACCAUGGAGGCAGCCGGAGGCACCGAAGCCGAUGCGGGAGGAGGCGGGACCGCAGCCAGGGCGGACGCUGCAAAGCUCGCGGCCGGGUCGGACGCCGCAAGGCCCGCGGCCGGGGUGGACGCCGCCAACCCCGCCAGCGGGGCGGUGUGAUCCACUUGCAGCAGGAGCGGCGGGACGACGCCCGCGGAGUCCGCAGCGGACGGCGGCGCCGCGGUGUGGACCACGAGGUCGCGCCCAAGCGAGGGCGCCGGCGGCGUGGAGUAGACGGAGUCGAUGCUCCUGGUCACGAUCGGAGCCGGAACGGCGACGGCAUCGAGCGGGAGGUUGAGCAGAGCCGCAAGAGAGGCCGGGAGGAACCCCGCAGCAGUGGAACCGGUGGUGGCGGCGCUCGACAUGGCGGCGGUGAAGGCGGCGGCGGUGCGGGUAUUAGGAUUUGGAAGCGGAAGCGAUCGUAACCUAGCGUGAUACCAUGUAAGACAAUAAGUUUUGGGGGAACCAGCACAACCCUCUAGGGGUAGCUUAUCUCAUUAUAUAUAAUGGAUGUGUUACAAUACGUACAUAAGUACAGAAGCUAUACAUAGUCUAACAUGCACAGAUUACAGUAGUUUCUUAACCAAGGCAAAGAGCCCCCAUCAGGAAAAACAAACGUGACCAACUCUUAAAGAAAAAGCAACUGAAAGCACGAGCUGUGCCAAUGAUGUACAGACUACAGCUAAAUCUCCACGACAGGGCAAGAACCUCUCCUACUUCCCAUCUUUCUCUGGU